GAUGAACGCUAGCUACAGGCUUAACACAUGCAAGUUCGAGGGGCAGCAUGAACUUAGCUUGCUAAGUUUGAUGGCGACCGGCGCACGGGUGAGUAACACGUAUCCAACCUGCCGAUGACUCGGGGAUAGCCUUUCGAAAGAAAGAUUAAUACCCGAUGGCAUAGUUUCUUCCGCAUGGUAGAACUAUUAAAGAAUUUCGGUCAUCGAUGGGGAUGCGUUCCAUUAGGUUGUUGGCGGGGUAACGGCCCACCAAGCCUUCGAUGGAUAGGGGUUCUGAGAGGAGGGUCCCCCACAUUGGAACUGAGACACGGUCCAAACUCCUACGGGAGGCAGCAGUGAGGAAUAUUGGUCAAUGGACGAGAGUCUGAACCAGCCAAGUAGCGUGAAGGAUGACUGCCCUAUGGGUUGUAAACUUCUUUUAUACGGGAAUAAAGUGAGGCACGUGUGCCUUUUUGUAUGUACCGUAUGAAUAAGGAUCGGCUAACUCCGUGCCAGCAGCCGCGGUAAUACGGAGGAUCCGAGCGUUAUCCGGAUUUAUUGGGUUUAAAGGGAGCGUAGGCGGACGCUUAAGUCAGUUGUGAAAGUUUGCGGCUCAACCGUAAAAUUGCAGUUGAUACUGGGUGUCUUGAGUACAGUAGAGGCAGGCGGAAUUCGUGGUGUAGCGGUGAAAUGCUUAGAUAUCACGAAGAACUCCGAUUGCGAAGGCAGCCUGCUGGACUGUAACUGACGCUGAUGCUCGAAAGUGUGGGUAUCAAACAGGAUUAGAUACCCUGGUAGUCCACACAGUAAACGAUGAAUACUCGCUGUUUGCGAUAUACAGUAAGCGGCCAAGCGAAAGCGUUAAGUAUUUCACCUGGGGAGUACGCCGGCAACGGUGAAACUCAAAGGAAUUGACGGGGGCCCGCACAAGCGGAGGAACAUGUGGUUUAAUUCGAUGAUACGCGAGGAACCUUACCCGGGCUUGAAUUGCAAACUGAAUGAUGUGGAGACAUGUCAGCCGCAAGGCAGUUGUGAAGGUGCUGCAUGGUUGUCGUCAGCUCGUGCCGUGAGGUGUCGGCUUAAGUGCCAUAACGAGCGCAACCCUUAUCGAUAGUUACCAUCAGGUUAUGCUGGGGACUCUGUCGAGACUGCCGUCGUAAGAUGUGAGGAAGGUGGGGAUGACGUCAAAUCAGCACGGCCCUUACGUCCGGGGCUACACACGUGUUACAAUGGGGGGUACAGAAGGCAGCUACACGGCGACGUGAUGCUAAUCCCGAAAGCCUCUCUCAGUUCGGAUUGGAGUCUGCAAACCCGACUCCAUGAAGCUGGAUUCGCUAGUAAUCGCGCAUUCAGCCACGGCGCGGGAAAUACGUUCCCGGCCCU
rnacentral:rRNA from 1 species